GACGAACGCUGGCGGCGUGCUUAACACAUGCAAGUCGAGCGGUAAGGCCCGUUUGUCNGGUACGACGAGCGGCGAACGGGUAGGAGUAACAACGUGGGUGGACCUCGCCUUCCUAGCUCUGGGAGUAAAGACCUCGGGAAACGUAGGGUCGUAAUUAACCGGACGUGUUCUACUGUGCGUUGUCAUGGUGUGUGGUGGAAAGUACUGUG
rnacentral:rRNA from 1 species